ACUAUUCGCUGAGGACGCUUCCUUGGAAGUGGCCGAGUUUUGUAAAGUAGAAGCUUCUAAUUCUAUUAGUCAACUUUAGAUUAGACCUCAGAUCAGGCAGGAUUACCCGCUGAACUUAAGCAUAUCAAUAAGCGGAGGAAAAGAAACUAACAAGGAUUCCCCUAGUAACGGCGAGUGAAGCGGGAAAAGCUCAAAUUUGUAAUCUGGCACUUUCAGUGUCCGAGUUGUAAUCUCGAGAAGUGUUUUCCGCGCCGGACUGCAUACAAGUCUGUUGGAAUACAGCGUCAUAGUGGUGAGAACCCCGUAACUGAUGCAGAUGCCCGGUGCUUUGUGAUACACUUUCGAAGAGUCGAGUUGUUUGGGAAUGCAGCUCAAAUUGGGUGGUAAAUUCCAUCUAAAGCUAAAUAUUGGCGAGAGACCGAUAGCGAACAAGUACCGUGAGGGAAAGAUGAAAAGCACUUUGGAAAGAGAGUUAACAGUACGUGAAAUUGUUGGAAGGGAAACGAUUGAAGUCAGACUUGUUAUCUGGAGUUCAGCCUUUCGGUGUACUCUCCAGUUUACAGGCCAGCAUCAGUUUUUGGGGCGGGAAAAUCGUGAAUUGAAGGUAGCAGCUUAUGCUGUGUUAUAGCUUUUUACUGGAUUCCGCUUUGGGGACUGAGGAACGCAGUGUGCUUUUAGCAAUACCCUCG
rnacentral:rRNA from 1 species